AACAAACGCUGGCGGCGUGUCUUAAGCAUGCAAGUUGAGCGGCAAGGAGGAGAGAUCCUCCCUAGAGCGGCGGACUGGUGAGUAACGCGUGGGUAAUCUAUCGUAGGCAUGGGGAUAGUCACUAGAAAUAGUGGGUAAUACCGAAUACGUUCCAUGAGGGGAGUAUUCAUGGAAGAAAGGGUGCUACGGCACUGGCCUUAGGUGAGCUCGCGUCCCAUUAGCUAGUUGGUGAGGUAAAGGCCCACCAAGGCGAUGAUGGGUAGCCGGCCUGAGAGGGUGUACGGCCACACUGGGACUGAGAUACGGCCCAGACUCCUACGGGAGGCAGCAGCUAAGAUAUUCCGCAAUGGACGAAAGUCUGACGGAGCGACGCCGCGUGGAUGAAGAAGGCCGAAAGGUUGUAAAGUUCUUUUAGCUAGGGGAGAAUAAGUGAGGGAGGGAAUGCCCUAUGAUGACAAGGACUAGCGAAUAAGCCCCGGCAACUACGUGCCAGCAGCCG
rnacentral:rRNA from 1 species